GUUAUAUUCUUUCAUGAAAGGUUAUUUUGUCCUUAUAAUAUAGGAAUCAAGAAAAAAGAUUCAUCCCGUGGGAGGGAGAGCUUGACCUUCAGAGGGGCCAGCACUCCUAGGAAACAAGAGGAUUCUAUUCUCUUCCCUCGUAUCUGACUCAAGAGGAAAACACCUAGAGCCAUCACGGUCACCUGCACAAAGGAACCCAGAAAUAGGGGCAGGCCCUUCUGUUUCCUGUCCUUACGGAUAGCUGAAACUCUGCCCUAUGGGGCAACUUUAGUCCUGAGACCAGAGUGACACUAUGAAGUUCCCUUUAUUGUAAUAUUUUAAUAUAUCCAUGACUUUUAUGUCUACCAUCUCGCAUGGUGGUCACUGAAACCUUUCCGUGCACAAAUACAGAAUAUUUUCACUAUCUCAUUCUAAGAAGUCACUCAGCAGAAGCAAUGCAGAGAUAAUGGAAGGGAAGCCUAGAGAAGAGCAGAAGCAUUAAGGAACAUCUGAUCUUUGAGUGAUGGCUAAAGAAGUCACUCAUGAUCCUGGAUGUUUCUAUUAUGAGAGUCCUACAUCUUCAAAAUAUAUUACCUUCUUUUCCCAAGGAACUCUCCGUCUCAUCCUCUGCCAGAUUCUCACAAGCAUUGAAGCCUGUUUUCUGAGAUGUGUGAGAAUGCCAGUAACUCUUUUGACGACUUCAACUAUUGUGCUGAUUGUUUUGUUUGAGGUAGCACCCAGUAUUUCUUCUUCUAAUUGAGCUUUCAUUAUAUCUAAUGAAGACAGAAAAAAACAAAAAA
rnacentral:sRNA from 1 species